rnacentral:rRNA from 1 species
UACGUAGGGUGCAAGCGUUACUCGGAAUUACUGGGCGUAAAGCGUACGCAGGCGGCUUUGCAAGACAGGUGUGAAAUCCCCGGGCCUAACCUGGGAACUGCAUUUGUGACUGCAUAGCUAGAGUUUGUCAGAGGGGGGUGGAAUUCCACGUGUAGCAGUGAAAUGCGUAGAUAUGUGGAGGAACACCGAUGGCGAAGGCAAUCCCCUGGGCCUGCACUGACGCUCAUGCACGAAAGCGUGGGGAGCAAACAGG